CGCGUAGGCGGAUUGACAAGUUAGUGGUGAAAGACCGGGGCUCAACCUCGGGGUUGCCAUUAAGACUGUUAUAUCUGGAGUGCAGUAGAGGGUAGAGGAAUUUCCGGUGUAGCGGUAAAAUGCAUAGAGAUCGGAAGGAACAUCAGUGGUGAAGACGUCUAUCUGGGCUGUAACUGACGCUGAGGCGCGAAAGCGUGGGUAUCAAACA
rnacentral:rRNA from 1 species